UAAUACGGAGGAUGCGAGCGUUAUCCGGAUUUAUUGGGUUUAAAGGGUGCGUAGGCGGUUUGAUAAGUCAGUGGUGAAAGUUUUCAGCUUAACUGGAAAAAUGCCAUUGAUACUGUCAGGCUAGAAUAUGGUUGCUGUGAGUGGAAUGUGUGGUGUAGCGGUGAAAUGCUUAGAUAUCACACAGAAUAUCGAUUGCGAAGGCAGCUCACAAAGCCAUUAUUGACGCUGAGGCACGAAAGUGUGGGGAUCAAACAGGAUUAGAUACCCUGGUAGUCCACACUGUAAACGAUGAUAACUAGUUGUUGGCGAUACACAGUCAGUGACCAAGCGAAAGCGAUAAGUUAUCCACCUGGGGAGUACGACCGCAAGGUUGAAACUCAAAGGAAUUGACGGGGGCCCGCACAAGCGGAGGAACAUGUGGUUUAAUUCGAUGAUACGCGAGGAACCUUACCCGGGCUCGAACGGUGCAGGAAUAUGGUAGAGAUAUCAUAGCUAGCAAUAGUCUGUAUCGAGGUGCUGCAUGGUUGUCGUCAGCUCGUGCCGUGAGGUGUCGGCUUAAGUGCCAUAACGAGCGCAACCCUUGUCGUUAGUUGCCAUCAGGUCAAGCUGGGAACUCUAACGAGACUGCCACCGUAAGGUGUGAGGAAGGGGGGGAUGACGUCAAAUCAGCACGGCCCUUACGUCCGGGGCGACACACGUGUUACAAUGGUAGGUACAGAGGGCCGCUAACCAGCGAUGGUGUGCAAAUCUCAAAAACCUAUCUCAGUUCGGAUCGGAGUCUGCAACUCGACUCCGUGAAGUUGGAUUCGCUAGUAAUCGCGCAUCAGCCAUGGCGCGGUGAAUACGUUCCCGGGNNUUGUACACACCGCCCGUCAAGCCAUGGAAGCUGGGGGUGCCUGA
rnacentral:rRNA from 1 species